CACGGUAAACGAUGGAUGCCCGCUGUUUGCGAUAUACUGUGAGCGGCCAAGAGAAAUCGUUAAGCAUCCCACCUGGGGAGUACGCCGGCAACGGUGAAACUCAAAGGAAUUGACGGGGGCCCGCACAAGCGGAGGAACAUGUGGUUUAAUUCGAUGAUACGCGAGGAACCUUACCCGGGCUUGAACUGCAGGAGAACGAUACAGAGAUGUUGAGGUCCUUCGGGACUCCUGUGGAGGUGCUGCAUGGUUGUCGUCAGCUCGUGCCGUGAGGUGUCGGCUUAAGUGCCAUAACGAGCGCAACCCUUUUCGUCAGUUGCCAUCAGGUGAUGCUGGGCACUCUGGCGAUACUGCCACCGUAAGGUGUGAGGAAGGUGGGGAUGACGUCAAAUCAGCACGGCCCUUACGUCCGGGGCUACACACGUGUUACAAUGGGGAGUACAGAGAGUCAACCGCCGGCAACGUCGGUUUAAUCAAGAAAGCUCUCCUCAGUUCGGAUUGGGGUCUGCAACCCGACC
rnacentral:rRNA from 1 species